rnacentral:rRNA from 1 species
AGCGAACGCUGGCGGCAGGCUUAACACAUGCAAGUCGAACGCCCCGCAAGGGGAGUGGCAGACGGGUGAGUAACACGUGGGAACGUACCCUUUGGUUCGGAAUAACUUGGGGAAACUCAAGCUAAUACCGGAUAAGCCCUAUGGGGAAAGGUUUACUGCCGAAGGAUCGGCCCGCGUCUGAUUAGCUAGUUGGUGAGGUAAUGGCUCACCAAGGCGACGAUCAGUAGCUGGUCUGAGAGGAUGAUCAGCCACACUGGGACUGAGACACGGCCCAGACUCCUACGGGAGGCAGCAGUGGGGAAUACUGGACAAUGGGGGCAACCCUGAUCCAGCCAUGCCGCGUGAGUGAUGAAGGCCUUAGGGUUGUAAAGCUCUUUUACCCGGGACGAUAAUGACUGUACCGGGAGAAUAAGCCCCGGCUAACUUCGUGCCAGCCGCCGCGGUAA